GACGAACGCUGGCGGCGUGCCUAAUACAUGCAAGUAGAACGCUGAAGGAGGAGCUUGCUUCUCUGGAUGAGUUGCGAACGGGUGAGUAACGCGUAGGUAACCUGCCUGGUAGCGGGGGAUAACUAUUGGAAACGAUAGCUAAUACCGCAUAAGAGUAGAUGUUGCAUGACAUUUGCUUAAAAGGUGCAAUUGCAUCACUACCAGAUGGACCUGCGUUGUAUUAGCUAGUUGGUGGGGUAACGGCUCACCAAGGCGACGAUACAUAGCCGACCUGAGAGGGUGCUCGGCCACACUGGGACUGGGACACGGCCCAGACUCCUGCGGGAGACAGCAGUAGGGAAUCUUCGGCAAUGGACGGAAGUCUGACCGAGCAACGACGCGUGAGUGACGAAGGUUUUCGGAUCGUAAAGCUCUGUUGUAAGAGAAGAACGAGUGUGAGAGUGGAAAGUUCACACUGUGACGGUAUCUUACCAGAAAGGCACGGCUAACUACGUG
rnacentral:rRNA from 1 species